rnacentral:lncRNA from 10 species
CGAAAUGCUGGGAUUACAGGCGUGAGCCACCACGCCCGGCCGGGUUUGCAAUUUUUACAUGUCAAGAUGAAAUAAAGGAGAAUAUUAAUUUAACAUUUCAAGAUUUAACAUCUCAAGAUCGCCAAGAUUUUAGGGUGGAAAUCCAAAAUCAUGUUGGCAAUGACAAUGAAAACUGUCUUCUAUCUAGAAAUAAAAAAGAAUAUGAAGAAAAAACAAUGGUGGUGUUAGAGAAAGGACCCACAGAGUCUGAGAAUGUGACAGAAGAGCCCUUCCACGUCUGGGAAUGCAACAAGGAACAUAUUAUAUCUAUUUUUAAAUCUUCAAAAUUCCUGUAGUAGCUGAGAGCUGGAAAUGCUACUUGGAUUAUCUCAUUGUUGGACCUCACCUAACACCCAGUUUCCUUUCCCUCACAUUGUGUACUUGGACUUUGCUCCUGCCAUUUAUGUGCUUCCUGCAAUACCGUCAUAGACCACCAUCACCUCCACAUUCAUUCUCCAACCACUGCUACCACAAUACUCUGACUAAAUGAUAACCUGUGGCUGGAAAGAGUUAGGAUACUUUUCUAAAGCCCAAACUAAAUUCCACUCAACAAAGUAAUUGAAUGGUAUCUUUGUGAGUUUGAAUUGUUAAAUAAGGUCUAAAUGAUAGCAUAGGAAUGAAGAUUAGCAGAAGUCAGUAUGGCAGACAAACCAAGAGACUGGAGCUUCACACUUUGGAGAGACAAUUUGAGUUUUUGUUCCACUAAAUGACAUUCAUACACGAAAGACACCUGAAGAUGUUACAACCACAACACCUCCAGAUGUAUUUCCAAUGGACUCUUCCUUUGAGAUUCAGCUUAACUGAAUAUGUAUUUACUGAUUACCUUCCACACAAAAGGCUUUAUGUUUACUGACUCUUCUGUAAUAAGUACUGUGAUAGGCAAUAGGAAGACAGAGAUAUCAUGCAUUCUCCUUCCUUAAAUAAGUCACAGUGUAAUAGGGAUGACAGACAAUACUAGGAAAAAUGAGCUGUGCUAGAAAUACAAGCAGAAAGAGCUGGGAACUCAGAAAAGGGACAUCAAUUCAUCCUGAAGAGAAAAGUGAUACUUUCGGGAGAGAUAUGUGUGGUGGAUGGCAGUGGGUGAAUGACAAAAGGGAUUGGGACAUAAGGUGAUCUUAGGCAAGGAAACAAAACAGAUAAAAGCACUGGACAAAGCAUAGUACUUUCAGAAACCACAAAUUGGUGUGCUGGGAGCUCAUAUGUAGGUGUGAGAUGAGAUAAGGCUGGGGAGAUAAUAUCAUGGAAUAAUACUAUGAAGGUUUCUAUAUUAUCAGUAUAGAGAGUAUGGAUUUUAUUUACCAACAAUGAAGAGCCAUUGAACCAUUGAGCAGUUUAACCAGGGGACAGGAGAGAGUUACAUUUAAAAAAAUUCUGGAAGCAACAGAAUGAUGAGAUAGAUUUCUGAACUAAAGCAGUGGUCAUGGAAAUGAGAAGGAGGAAUUUAAAAGGGAUUUAGAGUUUCAUCAUUUGAGAAACAAUAAAGGUGUACAAUGAUCCUCAUUUGUAUAUUUAUCUUAAUACUGGGCAUUUGCAAAAAGAAAUGAGUUAGAAAGAGAAAUAAAUGGUUUUGAUGAGGUUGAGUUUGAGAAACACAAGAAAUAUCCAGGAAAGAGCCCUCAAGCACUCAUAGUCUGGGGAAGGUGGUUACAUGUGAACAAAUAAUAGAAUGUGAGUGAUGUGGUUUGGCUGUAUUCCCACCCAAAUCUCAACUUGAAUUGUAUCUCCCAGUAUUUCCACAUGUUGUGGGAGGGACCCAGGGGAAGGUAAUUGAAUCAUGGGGCCGGUCUUUCUCCUGCUAUUCUUGUGAUAGUGAAUAAGUCUCAUAACAUCUGAUGGGUUUCCACUUUUGCUUCUUCCUCAUUUUCUCUUGCCCCUGCCAUGUAAGAGGCACCUUUUGCCUCCCACCAUGAUUCUGAGGCCUCCUCAGCCAUGUGGAACAGUCUGCAGACUAAGAGGAGCCAUGCCCAGACAUGAUAAAAAGAUUAUGGAGCACCACUCACAGAUCCUGGACUCAACAAUGGAUGCAGUCACUGGAUGGAACUUUUGGCUAGAAUGGAUAUUGCAACACUGGCACCGCAAUGGAAGAUGAAAAUGCUGAUGGAAAUCUAACCUCGACCUACGAACUCAAGAUCCCUUCCUUCCCAAAUUUUCUCCAAGUUUGCAUAAAAAUAUGAAUCAUUUUUUUAAAUGUACAUGAUUCUGAGGAGCUCAUUCAUUGUGGUUCAACAUAGCAGACUUUUUUUUAACCAACCAAGACUUUCCUGCCAUCUGAUGCCAAUUUGGGCUAAAAUACCUUUUUCCCCUAGCAACUUAAAGUGUGAGAACAUAUGCUUUCCUCUGCCUGCACCCUGUCCACAGUACAUCCUGUAAAAUUCCAUCCUUCAGCAGUUAACUUAUAGCUUUAGAAUGAUACAAGUCUUAAAAUAAAAGUUUGAGGGCUCAAGGAAAACACUGAGUUCCUAAUGUAAAUAUAUCAUGAAGCCAAACAUUUCAGAAAAUAUUCAAGUUCCAUAAUUUUGCCUUUCUUAAAGGAGUCUUUGGAGAGCUAUUGCUUGUUCUUUUCCAUUAAAAAAUAUGAAGUUUAUGCAGUGAUCAUUUCCCCUAGGGUUGCAGAUGUAGGCAAGCUGUACUUGGCCCUCCAAGAAAGAUACACAAAGUUUAACGUUUCAUUAUACUCUGAAAAAAAUGAACUGUUUCCUAAGCAGGCUCUGUACUGUUAGGAUAAAUUGUAAUACCAAAUUUAAUGUAUGCCUUACUCUGGAAAACAAUAAGAAAUUUUG